AGAGUUUGAUCCUGGCUCAGAUUGAACGCUGGCGGCAGGCCUAACACAUGCAAGUCGAGCGGAUGAGAAGAGCUUGCUCUUCGAUUCAGCGGCGGACGGGUGAGUAAUGCCUAGGAAUCUGCCUGGUAGUGGGGGACAACGUUUCGAAAGGAACGCUAAUACCGCAUACGUCCUACGGGAGAAAGCAGGGGACCUUCGGGCCUUGCGCUAUCAGAUGAGCCUAGGUCGGAUUAGCUAGUUGGUGAGGUAAUGGCUCACCAAGGCUACGAUCCGUAACUGGUCUGAGAGGAUGAUCAGUCACACUGGAACUGAGACACGGUCCAGACUCCUACGGGAGGCAGCAGUGGGGAAUAUUGGACAAUGGGCGAAAGCCUGAUCCAGCCAUGCCGCGUGUGUGAAGAAGGUCUUCGGAUUGUAAAGCACUUUAAGUUGGGAGGAAGGGCAGUAAGUUAAUACCUUGCUGUUUUGACGUUACCGACAGAAUAAGCACCGGCUAACUCUGUGCCAGCAGCCGCGGUAAUA
rnacentral:rRNA from 1 species